UCCAUUUGAUGAAGUAGUGGUAAUAUGUCAAUGUAGUAGUUCUUCUGGCCUCCGUUUCGCCCUUGGCAGUCAGUGAUGUGUAUAAGCUGACCAGCAAUCUCUUUUGUAACCUGUAAGCUAGGAAUGAUCUAUGUAGGAGAACACUGCUGUACCACUUGACUACUUAGCUAGCAUCGAUCAUUGCUUGGCAAAGUUAUAGUUUGUUUAUAACGGCUUCCGUCACAUUAUUUUUUGACGGGGAUUGAGUAUGAUGUAUCAGAGUGGCAACAUUUGUAUGUAUUAAUCAAGGUCUCAUGAGUAGCAGGAAAGUGAGCUCUUUUGUCCGAUGAGUACAGUUGGACUGUUUUGUAGUGGAAAUUCCAUUUCAUUUGUGUAGUUGGUGUCAAGUGUAACAGAAAAGUGGGUAUCAGCUGCAAGCGUAGUGAAGAUGGAAUUUGAUACGGCUAUAGAGAAAUAAUCAAGAACUAGUACAGUCAAGUCAAAGUGAAGGAAUGGAUGGGAGGGAGUACAAUACAUGCAGGGAAGACGCGGCCAUGACAGAGAGCAGCCCUCGCAGCAGUGACAGAACGGUUCUGUCGCUGGUGCUGGGUUGUUGUGCUUUCUCUCAUGAUGGCUUCACCUAAUAUUAGAGAGAAUCGUCAUAUCCGCAUUUUAAACAAUCGUUACAUAAUUAAAAGAAGUCAGUCUUUUGUUGCUGCCUUUACUCUUUCCUAAGACAGAAAUAUCCUACUGUUGGUAACGAGUAUUAUUUCCUCUUUGACGGAUUUUCAGGUAAGCUCGUUUGGACUCGUUUUAAACUUUUUUUUUUCGAGGGGACCGCUAGAGAGAUUUUUUUUAGGCGAACCGCUAAAUAGAAUUUGUACGAGGCCUCAAUUUGUAUUGAGUGUAUAGGCGUCAGAGAGAACAAAGUUCAACAGGGCUUCCACGAGGCCCGACCCAGGCCCAUAUUCAUAUUAUCCUCUUCCGUCGCCUUCGUUCCCCCUCGUCUCCCUGUACCCUGUCCCUCCACUCCGCUCUCCGCUCCCUCCAAAACCCCAGCAGAAUGGAGGCGAAGGCGCUCCCCCUCACGCACUUCCGCGCGCGGGCGGGCUCGCCGCUCCUCCUCUCCGCGGACGCCAGCUCCGCCGCGCGCAAGGGCUCCGGCGCGCCAGGUACCCCGCAUUCCUCCAUGGUAUCGCAGGCUGUUCCGCUCGGGGCUAAUCGGGGGAUUGUUUCGCCGCGUGUGUUUUGGGCAGGGAGGAGCAUGGCCUCGAGGUACGACGCGGGAGCGCCUCCGAGCAGAGCAGGUACAGUGGCGGAGCCGAUGUUGCAGCUUAAUUUUGCGGUUUGUUUGGUCGGUUAUCGCUGUUGUCUGAUCCAAAUCUCCUGUGUACUAAUGUACUUCAUCUUUAUUUUAAGCUGAUUGUCUGAUCCAAAUCUCCUGUGUUUUUUAGGGAUGAAUGGAGUUCCAAAGCUUAAUCCCAAAUUCUCCACCAAAAGAGCAGGUGAAGAGCGCUGCUUGAAAUUAUGUAGCUAAGUUGCUCACUUUAACCGAUUUUCCGUGUUUACGCAGGGACAAGUAAGGUUCCAAUUAUUAAUUUCGAGGUUUCUCAUCACAGAGCAGGUAAAAUGUCAAUCUAAUGUUUUUUUACUUUGCUAAUCAUAUUUCCCUUACUUGUAUGAAUCUCUAGCGAUGAUCUAAUUUAUUGGAAUUAUUUUAAUCAUGAUUCAUAUUGUUUGUGUUGUUGGAGCAGUUGCAGCGGUGAGGUUGCUAAGAGCUGAUAAGGGGAAGGCGUUUGUUGAUCUUUUAAAUGAGAAAGCAAACGAUUCUGGGGAAAAUGAGAUGGGCUAUGUAGAGAGGACGUUAGGGUUCAGUACACGGCAUUUGGAUGACAGGGAUAUACGAUUGGUAAAAUUCAUAUAUUUCACAUGUUGGAAUGUUUGUUCUGUCUAUGAAUUUCAGUUGUUUAGGGGCACUUACACUAUGUUGGGUUAUUGCUGGGAAGUAGGAAUAUAAUGCUGUGAGAGAAACAGCACUUUUGUUGCAUCAAUGUAAUGAUCUUAUUUGUAUUCGAUGAACAUAUAGCUAACUAGUUGUCAGUUUUGUUUCUUCAUUUUCUUUAUCAUUCUACCUGUGAUAUAGAGUGUCAUGAUGAACAUAUUGCACAAAUGGCUCAGCAACACUGUAAAAGUACAAAACACCUAAGAUGGCUUGUCUAUGCCUGCAUAGGAAUUCAAACCUUCUGAUUCUCUUAUGGUUGGAUUGUUAGGUUACUGUCAUAGUAGCUGGAACUGUACGUUGGAAACGCUACAUUGAUUAUCUUAUCAUGUCACUCUGUAGUGAAGAGAAGGUGUUCAGCAAUAUGGAACCGCUGCUGCUGCAGGUUUGUCCUAUUUUUCUUACAGCAUAUAAUCUCAGAAUACCCAUUGAAAUGUUUACUCCUGCUUGUAAAAUAUUAGAGUCUAACACUUCUGAUUUCAGAUAUUGCGAAUUGGCUUCUUUGAAAUUCUCAAACUUAAUGUACCAGCUUAUGCUGUCGUUGAUGAGGUAUGUUGAUAGUAUUUAACAUGUACUAGAAUUAAGUUAGCCCUUCGUCUGGAUUUUGGUUUACCAGAAUGUUAAAUGCGGCAACUGGUAUCUCUUAAUUAAAGUGAUUUCCUUCCUAUUUAUUUAAGUUCCAAAGAAAAAAUGUGGGCAUGUGAUACUGAGCUCUUUUCCUUGUCAUUUCAUAACACAAAAAUUACAUUAAACGCUGGAUAUAAAUUAUUACAACAAUAGCCAGUAUGCUACACCCGAACCCCAAAAAGGAUGAUGUGGUUAUGUUCCUGAUUUAAUAUCCUGAAGAUCUACCUUGUUACUGUUCUUUGUUAUAUGGUGGUUUUCAAACUUGGUGUGUCCAUUAUUUGAGGUUGACAUGUAGUAUUGUAUUAUUGUUGUCAGUUCUACUAAAGUCUGAAGCCAAUGUCACCAGGCAAUAUAUUUGCUUUAUUUUCAAAAGGAACCUGAUAAUGUGUCUUGCAAACCGAAUUUUAGAAUGUAAGGCUCGCGAAAGUAGCUUUAAGGCCCGGUGCUGGGAACAUGGUGAAUGCGAUUCUGCGUAAACUUCUGUUACUGAAGGUAAAACCUGGUCUACUCAGACUAGUCAGUAGGGUUAUGCUGUAAGCCUGUAACGUUAUUGUGUUGCUUUUAUAAUCAGGAGACAGAUUCUCUUCCUCUUCCAAAGAUAGAAGGUGAUGAUCGUGCCCAAGCUCGUGCUCUUUCCAUAAUUUAUUCUCAUCCUGUUGUAAGUUUGCUCUACUUCCUAAGCUCUAGUUCUCAUCUUGUUGUAAGUUUGCUUUACUUCCUAAACUUAGUUGACUUCUGUUUUAAAAUUUUAAAGCGUCAAAUGCCUCGCUCGUACAAUCAAUAGGUUUACUGCACCGUUGAUAACAUUCGAAUUGAACCCAUGCCUGUUAUCAACCAAUGUCCUUGUUAACUGGGGUAAUGUACCUGUGGGGACUUAAAUGUACUUGCUGUUUCUGACGUUUCUUAAGAGCAUAAUAUAGGAUUGGUAGACAUGUUUUGUAAACUGUAAUAUGUUUUUUGCUCUGCAGUGGAUGGUGAGAAGGUGGAUUCGAUUUCUUGGAAAAGAUGAAGCUCUAAAAUUGAUGAAUUGGAAUAACAGUGACCCUUAUUUCAGUUUAAGGUUUUAAUUUUUAAGCGUGCUCUUCUGCGAAUUGCAAUUUACCUGCUCGGCUGCUCUGUUUAUGUGUGUGUUUCUGAUUGACUGAUCUUUGUGCCAUAGGGUGAAUACAACAAAUGGCUAUACAAGGGAUGAUCUUGUUAACCGAUUGGAAGAUUUGCAGGUACUUACAUUAAUUCUUCGUACCUGAGUUCCAUCCAAUUUAUGGCUACGGUAGGAAAAAUAUAAGAGCGAUGCUAUUUAGCUACAUAGGAUUUAUCCAAUUUAGUAGUCAUGUUGGGGUCAUACUCUGCCUUGAUUAUUUGCAUUUGGGUUUUAUCACUUGGUUUUCUUUUGUGUAGGUUCACUAUGAAAAGUCAAUUAUGGACGAAUUUGUUCGCAUUCGUGAGGGCAUGCAGGUAAGGAAGCUGAACAGUUAGUUCCGUGAUCACUGCACAACUGGUGUUUGCCAAACCAAUGUGUUCUAUUUAUAUCCUCUUAAUUUCUUUUGGAACACAAUAUGUUUAGGAUGCUUAUAAAUAACAGUUCAAAGUCUUCUAAAUUGGAUGUGGACAAUAAGAUACCACACUUGAUUUCAGUCCAAGGAAGCGAGACGCCGGGAGCUAGUAAAAAUGAAUGUUUAAGAAAUAAAACUAAAUACUGCAUUUCGAUACUAUUAGCUAGAAAGGAAAGGAUAGCGCUAUACUUCUGGUGUCUUUAGAUAUUAUUUUGAUGCUAUUGCUAUGGAGCACAAAGCACUAUAAUCCAGCAUGCAUUUCAUUUUAGAACAUUUAGUAUUUUAUAAUACAAGUUCAUUUAUAUUCAAGUAACCUGUGCAGCAUUUGUGGGCGCACAAUUUCCCCAAUUCGCCCUUAAUCCAUAAGAAACUCUAGUGAUUUUUUGGUUGCAUUAUUGCAUUAGGUCUGCACCUUUUCUUAUAAUGCCUCUCAAGAUACUGGCUGGUAUCUUGAUAGCUUAAUUUCUUCCUUGCAGGCAGUCUUACAAGCUGGAUUACUGAAAGAAGGCAUGUGUGCCGUGCAGGAUGAGAGUGCAGGCAAGUCGUGAACAUUACUUGUUGACCACCUUUUAUUUAUUAUAAAUGGGAUUAUGAUAUUCAAAUGAUUUCACUAUGACUACAUGCUAAUGUAGAAAGAACUAUUCACUAUUAUGCUUUAUACUCCAUUACGUUAAGUAUUUACCCUUUUUCCUUAUACGGUUCCAAGUCUUGGUAACAACAGCAAGUUUCAUUGAAGAUCGCUAUAGAUAACCCGCACUAAGAUUUACAGAACCUAUUGCAGGUUUUGUUGUGUCUGUCGUCGAUCCACAACCUGGGGAAACAAUCAUGGAUUGUUGCGCUGCACCUGGCGGGAAGACUUUCUUCAUGGCAUCCCGGCUGGCAGGACAAGGUGAGAGAUUGGAAUGAGGGAGUUCAAUUUCUGUUGAUAUUGCAACUGGAGAACUGUGGGACCUUGUGCUAGUGUCUAUCUUUUCCUUUCUGGCCAUGCAUCUAUAAUGUGUUUUGUUAGUAUGCUAUGAUUUUUGCAAAAAACUUGUGAGCAAAAUGCUCAAAUGAAUCACUUUUCAUGUGUUAUUCCUGACAGCCUGCUCGGGGUGCUAUGCACCGCCGGCAUAAUCGGUUGUUAUGACCUAGUAACGUGUGCCAGUGGCUGCCAUUGUUAGCUUAAUUUGUCAGAUAUAAAUCAACCAAUGUAUUACAUUUAUGUCCUUCAAAUGUAGCAUCUGAUGCUAUUUAAUAUGUAGCAUCUGAUGCUAUUGAAAGGUUAGCCGGUAUAAAAAUUCUUCACCUUUCAUCUCCACUGAAAACUAGCAUUUGUGAACGUAUACAUUCAACACUGACUAGAAAAUAGUACUUACAGGUCCAGAAUAAUUAAGUUUUACCAGAUCUGAUCUUGUUAACACAUUAUGUCAUCGAUGCGGAGCGAGCUUCUAAGUCUGGAAUACAUAGUAUACUUGGCUUGAUGAUGUGCUAUUAUACAGGGAAGGUAUCGGCUCUUGACAUAAACAAAGGCCGCUUGCGAAUUCUCAUGGAGGCAGCAAAAUGCCACAAUCUUGAUGAUAUAAUCACUGAUAUCCAUGGUGAUCUUCGACUAUAUGCUGUAAGUUUCCAAGAAACUUCAUAAUUACUAGUCCAUGAAAAGCCUUAAAAAGAAAGAGGAAGUCCCGUAUAUCCAAGAAUAAUGCACCGCCAGUGGAAAUAUUUAUCAGGAAUAUGCCUUGCGGACUUAUGAAGCUUAUGCACAUGACACGUACACUUGUAUUGCAGAAGGAAAGCACUGCCACAUAUGAUAAGGUAUUGUUGGAUGCUCCAUGCUCUGGGCUGGGAGUCCUUUCCAAGGUAGCUCUCUUUAUAAAGUUCACUGUUUUCGAGAACUUCGCCAUCACAGAGCGUUGUACUGAUCCGAAUCUGGAGUUACAAGUUGGCAAAUUUUGUGAUGAACUGAAGUCACCUUUUCUGUUCCCAAGAGGGCAGACUUGCGUUGGAAUCGGCAAUUUGAAGAUCUGGAGGAGUUGGUGUGUUUGCAAGAUGAGCUCCUUGAUUCGGCGUCGUUGUGAGAUUCUUGCUGUUACAAGUUUUUAAAAUUUUGUGCAAGCAAAUUCAUCUUGACAGCAUCUAAGAUUACUUUCAAUGACUUCACUUGCAGGUUGGUAAAACCUGGUGGUAUACUAAUAUACAGUACAUGUUCCAUUGACCAUGAAGAAAAUGAGAACCGGGUUACUGCUUUUGUUCAGAGGCAUCCGGUAUGAGUUCAUAUUUAAAUUAUGCAUCGAUCCUUCACAAAAGAUACAAACUCAAUAUCCUUAACAAAAGAUACAAACUCAAUAUUCAAUUGAUCUAGGCAAUAUGUCUGUCCUUACAAUUUGGGGUCCUGUUGGUAACUUGGUACUAUUAAGCAUGUACAUUGUUUCUCCCCAAGUAUUAUUAUCACCAAAAUUCUACUCCCUCCGGACACGACAAUAAUUAUGGAACGGAGGGAGUAGUUGUCUUUUAGUCAUAGCAUGAACUGAAUUUUAAUCCUUAUCCAGCAACUUUGCUGUCGUUCCCACUUUAUGUUAGCCCUCAGUUCAGAUUUAACAAUGAUAUAGCUGCACAUUUAACUCUCCGAUAAAGUUUACACAUUAAGCGUGCUGUAACACUUGUUUUAUGUGUAACUGAACAAUCUAUUAUCAUUUCUGCAACCUUACUGGUUGGUUAUGUUCACUGUCCGUCAAAUCAGUUCUACGUAUAUACAAUCAAAAGAAUGCAAUGAAAUAUUUUAUGUUCUUUUCUUACUCAGUGAUUAUUGCAUGUUAGACAACAUUCACUGACAUCUAAUCAUGUUUUAUAUUCAUUUUACUAUGAUAUGCUACAGGAGUUUACCCCACAGGGUGUACAAGGAUUUGUUCCUGCAGAAUUCAUCACAGAUGAUGGUUUCUAUUCCUCAAGUCCAACUAAGCACUCUCUGGAUGGGGCAUUUGCUGCUCGUCUUGUCCGGUCAAUGCACUAGGACUCCUACAAUUAGGUGAGCAUAGGAAGAACCAAAAACCAAAUAUAUUUUCUAAUGUUUAUAUGAACUGAAUUCCCCCCUUCAAGAUGUUUAUCUGACACAUGCUGUAAAAAUUCUCUUUCCUCUCACAGUUUCUUAGAAGAGGGUAGUCUUCUGCACUCUGUGGUCCAUCUUGCUUCUUGGACUGCAUGCAGUAAGUUGUAUAGUAGACAGUAAUGCUGAGGUCAUCCUUAUAGGCACGCUCCAUCAUUUUGAUGUUGAGUGCCACAAUAAUGUGUGUUGUGAGCUAGAUAUACCUGGAGUUGUACCUGCUGGAUACGUCAGCAUGUGUAUUAGGUAGGCCCUAGUGAAAUUGUCUGAUAAAGUAUGUUUGUUAUGUAUUAUUAUGUCUUGUGCAGUACCAAGUGAUGAUCUCAAGGUAGAUGAUCAUACAUAGAAGUACGUCUAGAAAUUUAUCAGGUGAAGUGUACUUCAAGAGAACCAUAGUUCCAUAAAUAUAUGCUACUUUGUUGGACAUCAAUGCCUCUUGUAGGACCUUACACUAUUGGUACCAGCAGGGCCAACAUCGCAAAGCUAAUAGAAGCUAAUGUAACUGAGAACGGCAUUCUGCCUUUGUCCUUCCUCACGAACAUUGCUUCAUAGAAUGGAAUAUUGGUGAUCACUAGCAUUCCACACAGAAUGAGCUGGGGGGAAAAUACAUUCAAGAGUAUAUUCCAGCCACCUGUCAGAAUUUGACUAAGCCCUCCGACUAGACAAAUAAGGUUGAGUAAUGCGACAGUUGCAAUGAUCACAUAUUCUGGAGCUGAUGAGCCGAAUUCCAUGAUUUCUUGCUCGUAUCUCUUGGAUUCGUUUUCUUCACUUACCUUCGAUGUAACUGCAAAUGUCAUCUUCGACAGUCCUAGUAACUUCCGGACAGUGUCAGUCAAGCCAUACAGAUAUGAGGUUAUUCUUCUGACCAUCCACAUCCUUUGUUCAUUCCACCAUCCUUUUAAUGUGUCUCCACAUGAUAAUGCCUCAUACAGGCUAUACAUAUUCUUCACACAUACGACAUAUAUGAAUGGUGAUAUCCAUGGACUCGUAAUCUGCAUGACACAGGAGGAUCGUAUUAGUUGUAAUAGAAAGCAUAUGAAACUAAACUGAGGCUUUUCCUAUUCUGAAUCAUUACCUCUGGGAACAAGGAGAUGCCUUUAAGGAGAGCUAGUGAAGGAAUGAUGACAUAAUAUAGUGUUGGGAUUGAAUUGGGUGCCCAUAAUCCAUAGAUCGAGUAGCCCAUUUGAUGCCGUAACUUGAUUUUUCCAUGCCCAAACAUGAAGGGGCAGUACUUUGAAAGAAAAAUCGAGAAGCUACCCUCGCUCCAUCUUUUGUGUUGCAGUAGUGUCUGAGCAAGUGUUGUUGGAGCUACACCCAGAAAUGCUGGUCUUGGAGGAUUGCUGUGGACUGACUUCCAUCCUCUGCAAUGUAUUUCCAGUCCUGUGACUAUAUCCUCUGCUGGGUAACCAUAUUUGAUCCCAAUCUCAUCUCCCCACUGUGUGUCAUGUUCAUAAGUGGAGGCUGCUAAAGACUUCGCUUUCUCUUCAAUCUCAUCUAUGCUCUCUUGUGUUUUGUCUUUGAUUCCUCCGUCCCAGUCCUCCUUGUAGUCUUUGGUGAACCUCCUUCCGCAAAGGAUCUCCCUUCUGUGGAAACAUCCAGUGCCAACAUACAUAGGGCCACCCACACUGUCCAUACCACCCAUCAGCACCUUUAGAUUGAGUAGCUAUGUUAGUGGUAGAACAUACAUGCAUAAUGAUUGCUCAUAUUAUGAAGAACAUGAGAACGCAACUGAAGUUAUAGUUUGACAUCGCUGACCUGAUUGGUUACUUGGUGGGAGUUCCCAUAUAUAUUAUUCUUGGUCAAAUUGUUAUAGUUCUGGGGGAAUUGCACAAAUCCAAUCUUGUGACCCAUUUCUUCAUCAAGGAAGAAGCACAAUGCAUCUCUGAUUGUAUCGUAAUUGUUGGAAUACAUAUCACAGUCCACAUUCAUGAUGAUAGGGCUGUUGCUUAUCACUGAUGACACUCUUAUCUGCAUUUUAAUAGAAAAUUUGUCACAUUUAGAAAAAUUCAUUAUGAUCAUAGAAUUCCAACCUUUCAUGGAACACUUGUGAAUAAGUUCUUUUUCAUUUCACGCUCUAUUUUGUGCCUUGGUUUUCGUUUGCUACUUUGCUUGUUUUUGUUGUUGGACGAAGCCAUCUUGGCAAUUCUUGUAACACAAAUGACGUGCAAUUGGGUGCGCUUUCAAGAAAAAAUGUCUAGCGGUAGGGAACAAGUUAUUAUUUAUAUCUAAAACCAACAUAUUUUAAGCUCACAUUCAUUGCAUGUAUUUCACAAAAUGCUACUAAAGAAGUGGAGAGUUUUGCACUCCCUCAACUCUACAGACAAUCCAAUGACACAAAAUGAAUUAUUAGGGUGUGAACUCCAUGGUACAAUUUUCUCAAAGGACAAGAAAUUGCAUGACAACAUUUUGCUAAUUUGGUUACUCUUGCAAACAUUACUGUUUACUAAAAACUUCAAAAUUAUGAAUUAGAAUAUGUUGCAACUAAUAUGCUGCUAAGAAUCAGUAUAAGAAAACGGGCUAAUGAAAACUAUAAAAUUUACAAUAAAUUUUAUGCUUAGUAUGAUGGGGCAAGAUUAUUGAGUGCACCAGAGCAUUCAUUGCCCCAGCUUUGAAAUUAUGGUGGUGCUGAGGUCGCUUCUCCCGUGCCAUGUACACAAGUGUUGGUAACACAUUUCCUUCGUCAUCAUUUGCAUUUUUGUCUUUGCCCUCUAUCAGAAUCUAGCAAAAGAAAGAAUUAUAUAACUUGAAACUCCCAAAUAGCAUGCAAGUUAUUUACUCCAGAAUCAUGCAAACCUUUACUCAAAUUUGGAGGGCAGGAAAGCUACCUGAACAAUUGGCUGGUGAUUUUUUGAGGUAUUUUCUUGGUCCCAUUCAUGAAAUCCUUUAUGAUUUUCUUUGACUUCCUCCGAAAUUUUACCUGACAAAGCAGCUGUAUCAAUUCGCUCAGUCAUAUCUUCAUACAUCUCCUGCCCAAAAAUGAAAAAGAAGUCAGUUGUCAUGCCAAAUGCUGAGCACUACGGGUAGGCUGCACUUAACAUUAAGCAUCUUAUCUAGUCACAUGUGUGUGCCAUGCCAUUCCCUGUUCAAUAGCCAUUUGAUUACAUGUGUUAAAGAAAAUAUGUUUGGAAAAUCUGCUUACCCUGAUAAGUGACCACUCCUUUGGGGUGCACAUAUCUUGAUGCCCAUCUGACUCUGAGAAGUAAGUGGCUGGUGACCUUGGCUCAAUGUUAUAUCUCUUGCAGAAUGGUAUCCAAUGCUUUGCAAACAAGGAGGCCUCCCACAGAGCAUAGAAAGUGAGAAUCGAACCUCCGUCGUCAGAAAGGUACACACUAAUUUUUUCGGCUGGGUAAUUGUAUGCCAUGAGCGAUAGGACGGUGGAGAUGACAAGACUCGGUGGCUCUGAGUGUGGAUCUGCGGUGCAUACAAAGAUAUCCACACAAGGUAGCCUCUCUCCAUACCUUCUCCAAAUGACAUAGUAACUGUGUUAAUGCUCAGUGCGGGAAAUACAUGUUUUAAAGCAGUAGAACCUUACACUUGACACUCUUAUAAACCUUCAAAACAAGUCCCUACUUUGGAUCUUGUUUUGGCAGAAAUGAGUCUGAAGUACUCACUCCCUGGUUCAUGGGUUGAGCGUUUAAGGGUGUCUCGAAAUCUAAACAGAUGAUGGAGAUGGAGCCUUUAAACCACAAAAAUAAUAAUAUUGAUAUAGGUCCCUUACACCCUUAAACCUCAGUGCAGAAAUGUGUCUCGAAAUCUAAACAGAUGAUGGAGAUGGACCCUUUAAACCGCAAAAAUAGUAAUAUUGAUAUAAGUCCUUUAAACCACCACUUUUCUUUUCUUGAGAUAAGCUCUUUAAACCGGAAAGGAGGGAGUAUCUACCUUCUUUUCUAUAGAAAAGGCCUCUCAGUCUAGCUUAUUUAUUUACCUUCUAAGUUAGUGAUCUCUGAUCAUCAACGUAAGCCCUUUGGCGUUGAUAACGUCUUAUCUUGCAAUUAUAAUUCUAAACAAUCUGACCAUUUGCUUUAACCCUUUGUACCAUAGAAUAGAAACCCUUGUGCUGCACUCAAAGUUUAAAAAUCAAAAGCAUCAAACUUUUGUCUAAUUUGUUAACAGAAAGACAGUUCUGUUAUCUGGCCCGCGUAGCUUUAAAGCUAGCCUAAUGUAGAUUCUCAGUGCACUUAGUGUUGUGUGGUUUGAAACUCAAUAGGCUGCUAUCUCGUUGAAGUACAACAUAUUAAGAAAUAAGAGUAACGCAGAAGAUAACUAAAUUUAAACUGCAAAAAUGUCUUACAUUAAGCUCAUACCUAUACAAAACACCCGUUAGAAAUUGCCCGCUGUGUUUUGUAAAAUCUGGUACAUUUCUUUUCUUGAAUAUAUGGUUCAUUAUUGUGGGUUGUGACACUGGUCUCUUGUACCUAACUGAGUCCAAGAGCUUCAUGAAAAUCAGCCAACAUACUGAAAUAUGCGGCAUGUUCAUAGCACCUAUAGCAGACAGCCCGGACAUGGCGCGGACAUGAGAGAAGAAAAAAUGUCAUCCAACCGGACCCCAUAAAUUGACUCAUAUAUCCAGGCAGUCACCGAAUCCUCAAACUUAACCCAUAUAUGAGAGAAUAUGAGGGUGUCCAGUUGUCUAGGCAGUCUGGCAAUCAUAUGGAUUAGACCAACUCCAUCCCCACCAAUCAUAUGGAUUAGACCGAACAAUUUGGGAGACAUAUUGCGUGCGCGGAUAAAAUGUGGGUUCAAAACAAACACGUCCGGACACUAUCUGAACGCGUCCGCGAGCGUAAGAAAGGGGCAGAUUUGACCAUUGUGGUUGUAUAUGCUUUCAUCGUUUAUGCUAAAAAAAGCAAGCUCGCUGUUUACACUAUUGAGUGGUGGCCAUGGCAUGUAUGGUCACAAACUCACAGUCCGGGCGGUGUACAGGCUAACAAAUAGCGUUACUGUCAGCUCCAUCACCAUCGCAGGACUAGUUUGGCUUUUAACAGUCUGUCUAUAUCAAAAAUAUACGCGUAUAAAAUCUGAAAUUUUGGCAAAAAAAAAAACAGUUUUUGUCGUCACACAGCCGGAGCAUACAGCCCCCGGACGUCGUGCGUACCUGGCGGCGAGCCUGUCCCUGCAGGGGCGGCGGUGGAGGGGGCUCCAGCGCACGGACUGCGUGACGACCCAGUAGGCGGCGUAACAGAGCUCCGCCGCCAGCAUGCCCAGCCACGCCGCCCUCCCCUCGCCGGCGGCCGGCACGCGCGUCGCCCGGUAGUAGAGCAGCAGGAGGAUCCCGGCGGCCACCGUGACGGCGUGGAGCCUGUACACCGCCCGGCCCCCGUGCGUCUCCGUCUCGAACAGCCUCCUGCUCCUCUCCAUCUUCUAGUCUCGCCUGUCGCUCUCUCAGUCUUUUGUCAACUCCUGUAGAUGAUGGACAGGAGCACACGCAUGUAGUGAGGGGCCUGUUCGGGAGGAUCUCAACUCCUGUACUUGUAGUGGACAGCCGACCAGGUGGACGCGUGGACUUCCCCACCCCACACUCCACUGGUUUGGUGGACUGGAUUGCCCGUCCCACUGCCCCACUCCACGUGCACACACAUCCCCACAUGGCAACACCCAGUGGUCCCGUAGGGCAUCUCCAACACGACUCAUCAAAUCGCCUCGAUCGGAUGGUUCGGGCACUUUCAAACCUCUAAAAGCAUCUCCACGCAGACACCCUCAAGCAAUUCUUUUAGCACCGGCAGUAAAAAAAAGUCCCAGCCACGCCCUCAGGACGUCGUUUUGCGCCGGAUUUGAACAAAACUAGGCCGGCGACCCCAAGCCAAACCCAGGGAGCCGGGGGUGCCGACGCUAUUAUUUGCAUGCAACAGGGCCACUGUGAGCCUCACACUCCCUCUCUCCUCUCUCUCUCUCUCUUGCAUGCAACAUGCCCACCCAUGUGCAUGCCUCUCGCCCACUUCAUCUCUUUUUCCUCUCAUCUCUCUUGUCUUCUAGUGUUGGGUGGGGGCAUGGCUGGAAAACUUUUCACCCCCAUGCCAAAAUUUCCGCCGGCAUGACCCCAAUCGGUUGAAAAAGUGGCUCCUGGGGGGGAGGGGGCAACGAGUGGAGAUGCUCUAAUGCGGACAAACAUUUUAGGUUGGAUUGGUUCGGACAUUUGAAAUCCCAAUGCCGGCCCCAAAUCGGGGCGGGAGAGUUUGGACAUUUGCUGCCUCGGCGUCCGACAACUUGCGCUCACCCUUCCCAUGUCUAGAGCCCUCGGCAUUGAUGCCGCUCACAUUGACUUGUCGCCUACCUGCAUUCAAGCCCGUUCGGCCUGUGCCGCUCGAGAAGCCCACUUCAGCUUUAAAGUCGGUCGACCUCCCCUCCCAAACCCUAUCCUCACCCAGUCCUCCACAUCUCCCAAAUCUCCCAGUCCUCCACAUCUCCCAAAUCUGCCGCACACCGCACCUCCAAUGGCCACCGCGAUGGACAAGAAGAUGCCUGAGGAAGAUAACGAGCACACUCGGGCGUGGUGGUUGCUUGGCGGCUACCACUCAACACAGCCACCGCCACGCCAGGGCUCCAGAUCCGAAUGUGGCGCUAUCCCCGGUCACCGGGUCCACUCAACGCAGCCACCGCCACGCCAGGGCUCCAGAUCCGAUAUGCGGCGCUAUCCCCGGUCACCGGGUCCGUCUUCGUCCACCGUGAAGGAGAAGCGGGUUGACAAGGAGGAGAUCGACUUGGCCAAGCUCGCGACGAGGACUCGGCAGCCGCAGCCGCCCAUGCCCUGCGGCGGCGACGGAUGGCGAGUUCCAGCAGCACAUGCGGAUUGCACUGCGGAACUCGUUGAGUGACUAGGGUCUGGCGCUGUCAUCUCCUCUAUGCAACCAUGGUGUCCAGAUUAGACUCCGCGUGUAGUCAUCCCUGUCGCCCCGAUGCCUGGCCCCAAUGAAGCAAGAGUCAUCCCAGCCGAAGCCGCGUAGCCGCCUUGACUACUAUCUGAGCGGUAGUGGCUAGCGUUGCGCAUCGUCCUUGUCGUCGAGGGUAGGGAGAUGCCUCACCAAGGCGGAGGCACGUCUAGAGCGACACCGGGUGCAGCGCUUGGCGGUGUUCGCCAAGACUGACAUGCUGCCGCCCUAGGUCCUUGCUGAGGCUUGGGCCUUCGAUAGGUGCAAGACCAUCGAGAAAUGGUUGCCCACUGUCAGCGCCGUCUGAACUAGCAGCUCCUCUUGUCGAGCUGGUCGAGACCGAGCGCUCGAUCCACCUCGAAGCCAACAAGAAGCGACCCAAGGUGGAAGAGGCUGCCGAGCGUUUGCGCUGGGAGCGCAACGCCCCGGCCGUGGACAGAUAUCGCGAUGGCUGGAGUUGUAUCCUCCACUGGCGCGACUACGCGACUCAAUGACAACGGUGACUGCGGUGCCGGUGGGCUUGAAGGCCAUGCCUAAGAGGUGGUCGUGUGCUACUUAGCCUAGUUUUAGUUUAGUUAUGUUAAGUUAAAUUUUGAGUAGUUUGGAUGAAACCGUUAAAUUUUAUCUAAUAUGCACGUAAUAUAUCGUAUUAUGUUUAAUUUUGUGUGUGAUUCGUGUUUGAAAUGUUCGGACGAGGGAAAUUAUGAAGACAAUUUUGUAUGGCCGACGCCCAGCCAGAUGUCCGCGGACACGUCAAAUUGGUCAUACGGUGCAAUAUACAACAGGUACCUUAAACCCAUUCAACAAAACUAAGUGAGACAAAGAUCUAAAAGCCACAGUGAGAACACUCAAUGAUUCGAACGUGAUAUGAUGAUCCAAAUGGCUAGAUCCUAUGUAUCCAGCUAAUGGUCUGAUCCUAUACAAGUUGCCCCGUAAAAUAUGUUGUAAAGAAAUCUCUAAUAUUCCGAUUCACAUAGAUAUGGUGAUUUUGGGCACUGCACAAUCUUCAACAAGUUACUUUCAUAGUUAAUAUUCUUACAAAUAUGUUGGUAAGAAGAUAUAGAAAAUAAAAUGUAUUGUGAAACUGUUUUCAUUGGUACAACUUUGCUUAAUUAUUGUGAAGAGUUUCCUCUUAGUCAGUGCUCUCGUUGGCAAGAUCUAAGAAAUGACAGGAUACAAGAGAGGGAGAGGUGGUUGAAAGGGGAUCAUGAUUUGAGGCGGGCACAAGUGGGAUGAGAAGGGGUUAGGUGCAGCAUUGUGGAUGAAAAUAGAGGGUUCACGCAAAAUGUCCAUGUCCUGGCCACCUUGCUAAAUCUGGACAACUCAUUCUUUCAAUGGUGCAGACGAUUGGAUCCUAUGUAUUCAUGUGUCCACCUAAAGCCCUGAUUUCGUACAAGUUGCUCCCAUACUGGGAUUUCGCUAGUGCUAGAGGAGAUUGAGUUAGAUCUGGCAUUGAUUGCAUUGGUGUUCUUGACAUUUCCUGUUUGGGUAUUUUUAUUUUCACAGGGGUAAUUUGAUCCAUGGUUAAUCCUGAGUCGAAGGGCUUAUGCAAAUUGCCUCUGCCCAACCCGGGGCUGCGCCACAUAUAAAUACAAUUGCCCAUGAAACUAUCAGAGCAAGUGUUCCAAGAGAACCAUAAACCAUACCAACUUGAGUACUUAUUACACACUGAUGCCUCUUGUGGGGCCUUAAACUAUUGUUGCCAGUAAGGCCAACAUCACAAAGCCAAUAGAAGCUAGUGUAACUGGGAAUGGUAUUCUGCCUUUGUCCUUCCUCAGGAACAUUGCUUCAUAGAAUGGGAUACUGGUGAUCACCACCAUCCCACAGAGAAUGAGCUGUGGAAAAAGUGCAUCCAAGUGUUCAUUCCAUCCACCUUUCAUGACUUUACUUAGCCCUCCCAGCAGGCACACAAGGUUGAGUAACGUGAUAGUCCCGAUGAUCACAUAUUCUGGAUCCGACGACCCGAAUUCCAUAAUCUCUUGCUCAUACCUCUUUGACUCGUCUUCAUCGCUUACCUUCGGUGUAACCACAAAAUUCAUCUUUGACAGUCCAAGUAACUUCCGGAGAUUGUCAAGGACUCCAAAGAGGUACGAGGUUAUUCUUUUGACCAACCACAUCCUCUGUCCAUUCCACCAUCCUUUUAGCGUGUCUCCAGAUGAUAGUGCCUCAUAUAGGCUGUACAUGUUCUUCACGCAGAAGACAUAUACGAAGGGUGCGAUCCAUGGACUUGUAAUCUGAACAACACAUGAAUAUUACAUCAGUUUUUUAAUACAAAACAUAUAUGUAACUAAGGUGAGGCCUUUCCAUAGUAUGAAUCAUUUACCUCUGGGAAAAGGGAGGUGCCUUUGAGGAGGGCCAGUGAAGGGAUGAUAACAUAAUAUAGUGUAGCGAGCGAAUUGGGUGCCCAUAGUCCAUAGAUAUGGUAGCCCAUCUGAUGCUGUAGCUUGGUUUUUCCAUGCGCAAACAAGAAGACGUUGUACUUUGAAAGGAAAAUCGAGAAGAUACCCUCGCUCCAUCGCUUGUGUUGCAGUAUCGUCUGAGCAAGUGUUGUUGGACCUACACCCAUAAACGCUGGUUUUUUAGGAUUGUUGUAGACCGACUCCCAUCCUCUGCAAUGUAUUGCGAAUCCGGUGUUUACAUCCUCCACCACGCAACCAUAUUUUACCCCAAUCUCGUCUCCCCACUGCGUGCCGUGUUCAUAUGUGCAGGCUGCUAAAGACUUGGCUUUCUCUUCAGUCUCAUCUAUGCUCUCUUGUAAUUUGUCCUUGAUCCCUGCAUUCCAGUCUUCUUGGUAGUCUUCGGUGAACUUCCUGCCGCAAAGGAUCUCCCUUCUGUGGAAACAUCCAGUGCCAAUAUACAUAGGACCACCCAAACUGUCCAUACCACCCAUCUCCACCUUUUAAAUUGAAGUAGCCAUGUUAGUGUCAAUAAUAUAAUAUGGAGAACAUGAGAAUUGUAAAUGAGGUUACAAUUUGGCACUACUGACCUCAUUGAUGACAUGGAGGGAGUUCCCAUAUAUGUUAUUCUUGCUCAGAUUGUUAUAGUUCUGAGGGUACUGCACAAAUCCGAUCUUGUGACCCAUUUCUUCAUCAAGGAAGAAGCACAGUGCAUCUCUGACCGCAUCGUUGUUGUUGGAGUACAUAUCGCAGUCCACAUUCAUGAUGAUAGGGCUGUUGCUUAUCACUGAUGAUACCCUUAUCUGCAUUUAAGUAGAAAAAUUGACACAUUUUAGUUUAAGUCCACAAAAGCAUUACAACCUUUCAUAGAAUAUAAAAUUGUUAUCUAAUUCCCUCAAAAAGUUUGUCAUCUAAUUGGCCACGAUAAUUGAACACGACAACACCGAUUCCAUUCCAAUAGGCUAAAUUGGUGUGGCGUCAAGCUACUCUUAGUCUCUCACUGUCUCCUGCUUGGCGGAGGGCAAAAGAAUGGAAACAGUGCAUCACCGUGUGCUUUUUAGAUGUAUCAGCAAGUGUAUACAUUGGGUGUAUGGUAUUAGCUAACUUCUUUAUAGCUUCUGAACAUUCAAAAACCAAAAAUUAUCGAAAUCAUAGUAGGGAAACCUAACUGUCUUCCUAAAAAAACAUAGAGGUGUAUGCAUGUGUAUGCAUAUGAUUUGUGAUAACAAAUAUACGUUUGCACGCAGCAUUGACAAUUGUGUUUUGUAUGCAUCCAUUGAUAUGGUGCCCAUUUUGGAUUUUACUCGAUGUCUUUGGUGUCACUAGAAGAUGAGUAGACAUCAUCUACUCAAAUUUGUGUGUACAUAAGCGUAGUCCGAUUACAACUUGGAUUUCAGUGCUGUCCAACAGACAUUGAUUUGAUUGCAUGGGCUACUCAUAUGAAUGCAUACCACACCUCGGAACUUGAGCGAUGCGACAAGAGGUCUAUGCUCCUUGUGUUUGUGUACCUUUAUUAACAUACGGUAAGUGACUAAUGCGGCAUCAACCAACUUUUUCUAAUUGAUUUUGGCACACAUCUCGCUGCAACAGAUCCACUGACAAUAAGCCCAGGGACUAUUUCCCUAUUGAGGCUUUCUGACUGUACCAACAUAUUUUAAGCAUACAUUCACUGCAUUUAUAUUUCAUAAAAGACUGGAGAAGCGGAGGUUUUCUCAACUCUAAUUCUCUCAACUACUUGGGGAAAUUCUAUUGUGGACUAUUGAUACAAAGAGGUGAAACUGAAUGAAGAAAGCACAACACACCAUUUUGUUACUCUUGUCCAGUAAUACAGUUUAUCAAAAACUUCAGAUUAUAAAUUAGAAUAUGGUGCAGGUGCAACUAGUAUUUCGCCAAGAAUCAGUAUUAGAAAAUGAGUUUACUAAUGAAAACUAUGAAGCUUACAGUGAACUGUCUACUUAGUGUGAAGGGUAAGGUUAGUAAGUUUACCAGAGCAUUCAUGGCCCCAGCUUUGAAGUUAUGGUGGUGUUGAGGCCUCUUCUCACGCGCCAUGUAAACAAGUGUUGGUAGCACCUUUCCUUCAUUAUCAACUGCAUUUUGGUCCUUGCCGUCUAUCAGAAUCUAACAAAAGAAACAAGUUUAGAACUUCAGACUCACAAAUACCAUACAAGUUAUUUACUCCAAAAUCAUGGAAACCUUUACUCCAUUCUGGAGGGCAUGAUAGGUACUCCCUCCGUCUGAAAAUACUUGUCAUCAAAAUAGAUAAAAAGAGAUGUAUCUAUAACCAAAAUAUGUCUAGAUACAUCCUCUUUUAUCCAUUUUGAUGACAAGUAUUUCCGGACGGAGGGAGUACCUGAACAAUUGGCUGGUGAUUCUUUGAGGAGAUUUCCUGGUUCCAUUCAUAAAACCCUUUAUGCCUUGCUUUGAUUUCUUCGGGAACUUUGCCCGACAUGACAGCCGUGUCAAUUCGCUCAGUCAUUUUGUCAAACAUGUCCUGCCCAAAAGAUGAAAUAGUAUCAGUUGCCAUGCCAAAUGUCGAGCACUAUAUAUAAUAAUCUUGUCAUCACCAGUGUAUGUCAAUUUAUUCCCUGUUCAAUAGCCAUUUGAUGCACGUGUUUUAAAAACAAGAAGAUGUUUGCAAUAUCUGCUUACCUUGAUCAAUGACCAUUCUUUUGGGGUGCACAGUUCUUGAUGCCCAUCUGACUCUGAGAAGUAAGCGGCCGGUGACCUUGGCUCAAUGUUAUAUCUCUUGCAGAAUGGCAGCCAGUGCUUUGCAAACAAGGAGGCCUCCCACAUGCCAUACAAAGUGAGAAUCGAGCCUCCGUCGUCAGAAAGGUACACGCUUAAUUUCUCGGGCGGGUAAUUGUACGCCAUGAGCGAUAGGAUGGUGGAGACGACGAGGCUUGGUGGUUCCGAGUAGGGGUCCGCAGUGCACACAAAGAUGUCCACACACGGUAGCCUUUCUCCGUGCCUUGUCCAAAUGACAAAUUAACCGUGUUAGUGCUGAGCAUGACAAAUAGUAUGUGCAUGUUUGGAUGAUGAAAUAUAUGAAAACAGGUCCCUGGUAAGCUAGUUUUUAAAUUCAAUUUUGCUACCCGGGAUAUGCAAAUUGCUCUGGUUUGCCAUGAUGGGACGGUGUUCCUAUCAGCUGACGAGUCCCUGCCGGAGCUUGGACCAAACCAGACAACCGAACUGAAAUUUAAAUUCUGCAGCGUUGAUUCCGAUCCACUUGUUAAAUGCAUUUACUAGUACUCCCUCCGUCCCAAAAUUCUUAUCUUAGAUUUAUCUAGAUAUGGAUGUAUCCAACACUAAGUGAUGAAUAGAUACAUCCGUAUGUAGACAAAUCUAAGACAAAAUUUUUGGGACGGAGGGAGUACAUUUUAGGAGAUCUUUUUGAAUAUGUAUUUAGAGAGGGAGCUCUCUUUAUCAAAAAGCAAAAACAAAAAAAGAAGAAGUCUUAACCAACUGCUCUUGUAUCUCUCGUCGUAAGAAAGGGUGUGAAAAAAUAAUUAGUGUAUAUAUAUACGAGUAUGUUGAGCAUGGCAAGAUUGUACGUAUCUUGUUGUGCAUGAAACUGAUGAGACGUCACCUUCCCGUUACACACACAGUCCGUGCAUUAGCUAAGAUUGCUGGGUGUUGAUGCUGGCGUGCCUGCCUCGGCGUGGUGCAUGAGGCCAGGCCAGCAGUACAAAUCGGAACACGCGGCGCGGUAGACGCACGCACGGUACGGUGUAGCCAGCCAGGGGCACUGGAGGCAACAACACUCGUGUGGCUACUGGUGGCCAGUGCAAGUGCAACUAUGGCACGACAGCACACGUUUGUUCUGCCUUCAUUGCCACUGAGAAGCUGACUAGGGGAUGUAAAUAGCAAAUAAAUGGUGUCCGCAAGUCCCAAGCUCUGUAGUUCAUUUUUCCGGAAAAAAACAAAAUUUUAAACUGUUAGCUUACAUAGUGGGAUUAAACAGGACCCGGUUGACAUCUGAGGUUAGGUCCCCGUGCGCUGGACGCCAUUGAUCACUGCCGGUCUGGCUGACCGCUCCCUUGCUCCUGGCCGGUAGGCAAAGCUGUCCUGCCCAGACGGCGGCCCGUUGGCCGUUACACGCACGGACAAGUGCAUGUGGGAGUGGGAGGGACGUGGUGGUUUCUUCUUCUUCUUCAUCAGAUAAAUGCAAAGGCAAAGGCAAGAUGAGCAGCAUGCACUCUGGUUACUACACAAGUCCUACGCACGACGACGACGACGUGUCACCUGAGCUAACGUACGGAUUAGGCAACAACGUAGUGGUAGGAGUAAGCAAGGGCCGGGAAACACGUCCGUACGCCUGCGCGCAACUGCAUCAUCUCUUGUUUCGAAGAAGAAGAAAAGAUGAGAGCUGUUUGACAUAUAUAUCUCUCGAUCAUGCAGCCGCGUCGUUCGGUCAUAAGCCAUGCAUAGCGCGGACGGACGUGGUUCAUACCUGGCGGCGAGCCUGUCGAUGAAGGGGCGGCGGCGGACGGGGCUCCAGCGCACGGACUGCGUGACCACCCAGUAGGCGGCGUACCAGAGCUCCGCCGCCAGCAUGCCCAGCCACGUCGCCCUCCCCUCGCCGGCGGCCGGCACGUGCGUCGCCCGGUAGUAGAGCACCAGGAGGAUCCCGGCGGCCACCGUGACGGCGUGGAGCCUGUACGCCGCCCGGCCCCCGUGCGUCUCCGUCUCGAACAGCCUCCUGCUCCUCUCCAUCUCGGCUCUCUCGCUCUCUCUAUCGGCUGGCCGUCUCAAACUUUCCCGGGGACAGGAGAGGAGGUGCUGGGCACUGGGCAGGAGCGCGUAUAUAUAUAUGCUCCCCGCGAGGAAGGGGGAGGCAUGCAUGAUUCAGCACCGAUACGCCCGGAUACGCCUGGAUACGCGUAUCCUGCAGAAUCCCAUCCUUUUCGAAUUAUUAAAAAAAAGAUAUAAAAUCGGGAUACGGCCUAGAUACGGUGCGGACCCGGCAGCCAACCUCCGGUGACCAUGCUGCUGCCCAGUUCUACUCCCGAUACCAACCAUGAUCGAGCAGGUAACCUCGAUGGCUGCUAGCUAGUCAGGGUGUGCAUUCGCUCUUUUCGGUUUGAUUCGGUUCGGUUUACACGGUUUUUAUACUUUGAUUCAUAUGGUUUUAUACAUAGAUACGGUCCGGUUUCGGUAAUAAUCAAAGUUGAUGCGAAUUUUUGAACAACGCAUAUUUUUUUAUCGUCAGAUUAUUCAAUGGGUGUAUGUGGGUCUUUUUUUAGAACUGUACGUAGAUUAAAUCAUUAGAUGGCAAACAUGAUUUCUUUUUUGCAUGGUAAUACAUGUCUCAUUCAUAUCAUAAAGAUUAAAGUACAAAUUAUGUAAGGACUGACAUGACAAAACUAAAAAGAUAACAGAACAUCUCUGAGCUUGACACCAACGCCCAUCACCUGCCUCCGGCACCACGACAACAACCACCGAAGAAAAGAAUGAUGGAUCACCUCCUCACCCGAGCUCGACGCGGCUCCAUCGCAGAUAUGCAGCUUUGCGGAUCUCCAAGAUGGCUCACCAAAAGUGAAGCCCUUACCAUUGAAUGAAUCAGACCGGGGCAACAUCCCGGACACGCCAUUAAACUCCAGAUCUGACACCCCACCGAGACUAAGACGUCGCAGAAGGAAACCAUAUCUCCAUCCACGAACCACGAAUCCAACACAUGUUUCGUCUUCCAGAUGUCGUCGAUGCAGACCACAAUCUGCAUCCGCUUCCGGACUACCUCCCAAGCUCCGCGCCGACACUGGAGCAAACACCGUCGCAAUGGCGGAGCCCGAGGACACAGGUCCACCACAAGGAUGCACCCGCCGCCACGCCAUCCUUGUUUGAACAGACUGAUUUCCAAAUCCAUCCCUAACCAUAGGACCGAUGACCUUUUCAAGGAAGAAUCCGAAGAAUCUUUAUUCAGCGCUUCAUCAUCGCCGCCGAAGCAAAGACGAUGAACAGCCUAAAAACCUAGACUACGAGGGAGUAAAAACGGUCCACAUGCGUUGAUCCGGCGACCCCCCUCACCACCGACGAUCGAGGUCGUCGGCGGCUGGAAGAUUGGGGAGCCGCCGGAGAACGGCGCUGGAAGAUUGGGCUCUCCUGGCGGCGGCUAGGGUUCCAGCCGCCAGGGACAGGGCGGCGGCUAGGGUUUAUACGGUUUUAUACAUAGAUAUGGUUUGGUUUCGGUAAUAACCAAAGUUUUUUUAUCAGAUUAUUCAAUCUAUGCAUGUAGGUUAGUAUUUUCUUUUGAGAACUGUGUACGUAGAUUAAAUCAUUAGAUGGCACGCAUGAUUUGGUGAUAUAUGUACGUACGGUGGUGCACCAGUUUGAGCAUAUAUGACUGAUGAGGCAUUGACAGAGAUGUACGAUAUGAGCUUUCAGAAACGAAAGGAAAGCACACGGCAAGUGCGAAAGGCCAGUGCUCCGCCGGGUCUCCCCUCUCUCUCUCCUCCUUCCUCGCCGCCGCCCCCUCUCGCGUCGCCCCGCGUGCGACCGAGAGGGAACCCUAGCCGCCGCCGCUGGGUCUCCCCCUCUCUCUCCUCCUCCCUCGCCGCCGCCUGAGGGCACGGCCGGGCGAAGCCCGGCCGUCGCCGGCGGCGGCGGGGUUCCUCGUCUCCUCGCGCGGCGACUUCGGCGCGGGUUGCGGCGGCUGGUCGGGGACGCAGCGCUUGGCGACGGGCACGGCGGCGUGGCUGCUCAUCGGCGUUGAGGUGCGGCGGCGGUGCAAGCUGGCGACGGGACAUGCGGCGCGGUGGUGGCGCGCUCGUGCUGGCCGGGGAUGGCGUGCGCGUCUCUGGCGGCGGCGCUCAGAUCCGGUCGCCUCGAGGCGCGGUCGGGGGCGCACUAGGCUGCGGGCGGCCGCCCUCUGCCGUGUAUGCUGGUGGGGGGUGGCGGCGCUGCAGUGCGGGUGCUGCAGGCCAGCGGGUGGUGAUGGCGCGUCCGGAUCUGCCCCUGACGCUGCGGGCUGCGGGUGGCCUGGGCCGCGGGCGGCCCUUUCGCCGGAGCAUGAUGGUGAGGGGGCGGCGCGGCAGCGGUGGAGGUGGGCGACCCUCGUCUAGGCGGGCCCUUGCGCCUGGACGGUGGCGCUCGGUGCGUGAGGGCCUCCCCGGUGAGCUUCCUUGGCUUCGGCGGCGGGUCGAUUUGGUCUGCCUCCUCGGCGGGCGCGCGUUUGUAGAUGGCCUCGCGGAGAUAUGCGCCAGCUAUCAUGGUAGGGCGUCAUGGGGGUGCCCGCGGAGGAGCUAGGUAGGAGGGACGGGUGGCCUCGAUGCGGUCGCGCCACCUGUCGCCGGCACAGUUUGCUGGUCCGGAUGCGUCCGCUCCUUCUCCUCCUCCUUUCCUCGUGCUCGGCGGGGAGCUCGGUUGGAGGGAUGGGUGGCCUCGAUGCGGUCGCGCCACCUGUCGCCGGCACGGGAUGUGCCGGUCCGGAUUUGUCCGCUCCCCUUUCUCCCCUGUCCCUCGGCCGCAGACGGGUUGGCAUAGGUCUUCCAGCGGAGUGUCUGCGGGUGAAUCUGUCGAUUGAGGGCCGUCGGUUGGUCCAAAGCCGGGGCCUUUGUGUAGGUCUCGGGGUUGUCUGGUUGCAGGGCGGUGGCUCUGGCGGCGGGAGGCGCGACGUUUGCGGGCGGAGCGUGCGUCUCAGGUGCGGGCGGGCAUCCAUGGCCUCGCGGGUGGCGUGGUUGCAGGUGGUUGGCGGAGUUAGGGUGUGACGGUGGAGUGUGGGCGUCGGGGUACACCACUUGCCCAGUCCUUUGACUGGCCGACGGUGGCGGCGGCAAUUGACGCCGUACCCUUCCUGAAGGCUCCGUCGCGGCGUUCCCACUCUUACCGCCUUGCUCCGGGUGAAAACCUGAUCUUCACGGAUCGGGCGGUGGCGACUAUACAUGGUCGUACCCUUCUUGGAGGCAUCGCUUUGGAGGCCUGGCUUCGUUGUUGUCCGGUUCACCUCUUUAUUGUUGUCGGUGGGGUGGUGUGUCGGUGUCCGGCACCUUUGUAUCUUGCCUUGGAUGUGUAUGUUGUGUGUGUUGUUCGGUCUAUCGGUUGUAAUCGAAGAUGAUGCUUUAUAAAGCGGGGGAAAACCCUUUUUCGGUACUAGAAAAAUAUGAGGACAAAACACGGGAAAGCACAACAUGCGCUAGCCUCCAAGUGUUUUUAAGUGGAAAAAAAUAUGCCACGAAACACCACAUCGCUAGCCCGUAGGUUGUAGGGUCUAUGCUCUUUUUUUCAGGGAAAAAGCAUCCACGCUCCUGGUCCAAGCACCGUGCCAGCCUCCAACUCAUGCGCUAGGCAGCCCAAGUGUCAGCCUCCAGAUUACUCUGCGUUCGAUUUAUUAGGUUUACAUGGUUCGGUUUAUAUAAUUUUUUGGUUUAUAUGGUAUUAAUAUUUUGGUAAAUACGAUAUGAAAUUAAAAUAUGAUUCGGUUUCGGUAUAAACUAAAAUAUUUCGGUAUUCCCCGCAAAAUAUAUAUAUAUAUUUCGGUAUGGUUUUGAUAUAUACCAUAAUAACACGUGAAAUUGAAAAUGACGUAAUAAUAGUUUGCAAAUUUAUGACUCAAAACACAUACUGUUUUACACAGAUAGUAUAUAACUAUAUAUAUAAGUAUAUAUGCAUGCAUUGAUUCAUCUGUUGAUGGUUAUGGGAAGUGCUUAGCAUUUUUAAAAGAGAAAAAUGACUAUGUUACAAGAAAAAUUGCAUGCUUAGUAGUGAAGUUGACUCAUGUACAAGAAAAAUGACAACUUGUAUGGUUGUUCAUCACAAGAAAUAUAAAAUUAUUUUUUACUUCGAUUUAUUCGUUUAAUCGUUCGGUUUUUCGGUAUAUACCAUAAAACCAAAGUUCAAAUCGGUAUGAAAAGUUCAUACCAUACCAAAACGAUAAACCAUAAAAGCCAUAAAUUUGGUUCGGUUUGGUUUAUUUUCGGUAUGAUUUUUCGGUUCGGUUUUCAAAUGCACAGAGUGACCUCCAGGUCGUGCGCCAGCCGCGUUGCACAAUUUAGUACCACCUCGCGGAGCGACUAACAACGAGAUGGGUGGAUGGCUAUAAGACGAGCGGUGACGGGAAGGAUCAACUCAGCUCUUUGGUUGUUUAACACACAUUGAAGCUAGCUUUGGUUAGUUCGGUUUAACCAAAAACCAUUUGGUUUCUAACCGAAAAAACUGAAUGUUAAACGGUUUUCAUAUUUGGGAACUGAACCUGAAACCUGAAAAAAAAA
rnacentral:lncRNA from 1 species